UACGAAGGGGGCAAGCGUUGUUCGGAAUUACUGGGCGUAAAGCGCGUGUAGGCGGCUCUUCAAGUCAGGCGUGAAAGCCCCGAGCUCAACUCGGGAACUGCGUUUGAUACUGUCGAGCUAGAGUGUGGAAGAGGCAAUCGGAAUUUCGUGUGUAGCGGUGAAAUGCGUAGAUAUACGGAGGAACACCAGUGGCGAAGGCGGCUCACUGGCUCGGUACUGACGCUGAGGUGCGAAAGCGUGGGGAGCAAACAGGAUUAGAUACCCGUGUAGU
rnacentral:rRNA from 1 species